rnacentral:rRNA from 1 species
UACGAAGGGGGCUAGCGUUGCUCGGAAUUACUGGGCGUAAAGCGCACGUAGGCGGCUUCUUAAGUCGGUGGUGAAAUCCUGGAGCUCAACUCCAGAACUGCCUUCGAUACUGAGAGCUCGAGUCCGGGAGAGGUGAGUGGAACUGCGAGUGUAGAGGUGAAAUUCGUAGAUAUUCGCAAGAACACCAGUGGCGAAGGCGGCUCACUGGCCCGGUACUGACGCUGAGGUGCGAAAGCGUGGGGAGCAAACAGG